ensembl:snRNA U6 U6 spliceosomal RNA
GUGCUCGCUUCGGCAGCACAUAUACUAAAAUUGGAACGAUACAGAGAAGAUUAGCAUGGCUCCUGCUCAAGGAUGAAUGAAUAUAGGGGAACCUAAGCCCCGGGAU